GGGGAAUUUUCCGCAAUGGGCGAAAGCCUGACGGAGCAAUACCGCGUGAGGGAGGAAGGCUCUUGGGUUGUAAACCUCUUUUCUCAGGGAAUAAGUACUGAAGGUACCUGAGGAAUCAGCAUCGGCUAACUCCGUGCCAGCAGCCGCGGUAAUACGGAGGAUGCAAGCGUUAUCCGGAAUGAUUGGGCGUAAAGCGUCCGCAGGUGGUUUUUCAAGUCUGCUGUUAAAGAAUCUGGCUCAACCAGAUAAAGGCAGUGGAAACUGAAAGANUAGAGUAUGGUAGGGGUAGAGGGAAUUCCUGGUGUAGCGGUGAAAUGCGUAGAGAUCAGGAAGAACACCGGUGGCGAAAGCGCUCUGCUGGACCAUAACUGACACUGAGGGACGAAAGCUAGGGGAGCGAAUGGGAUUAGAUACCCCAGUAGUC
rnacentral:rRNA from 1 species